rnacentral:tRNA from 1 species
AGCGAGUUGGUGUAAUUGGUAACACGUAGGCCUCAUAAGCCUAAGUUUGUGGUUCGAGUCCGCAGUUCGCUUCCA